UUAAAUUGAAGAGUUUGAUCAUGGCUCAGAUUGAACGCUGGCGGCAGGCCUAACACAUGCAAGUCGAACGGUAACAGGAAGCAGCUUGCUGUUUCGCUGACGAGUGGCGGACGGGUGAGUAAUGUCUGGGAAA
rnacentral:rRNA from 1 species